GCCGCUAGCUCAGUUGGUUAGAGCAGCUGACUCUUAAUCAGCGGGUCCGGGGUUCGAGUCCCUGGCGGCGCA
rnacentral:tRNA from 1 species